rnacentral:tRNA from 1 species
GCAGUGCGUGGACGAAUGGUUACGCUGUCCGCUUUGUAAGCGGAUGAUUCUGGGUUCGAUACCCAUCUGCUCCA